GCGCUCUUUUCAGUAGCACGUCUACUACAAUUUGAAUAACACAGAGAAUAUUAGUAUGGCCCUGCAUGAGGAUGACAAAUUCAUGAAAUAUUUCAUACUUUU
ensembl:snRNA U6 U6 spliceosomal RNA